rnacentral:tRNA from 1 species
GCUUAUUUAGUUUAUAAAGAAAAAUAUUAUGUUGAAACCAUAGAGAAGAAUAUUAGUUCUUUAGGCA